rnacentral:tRNA from 1 species
CGGUAUGCGGAGGUUUUAAAACGUCGUCAUGGGGUGUCGGGGGUCGGAGGUUCGAAUCCUCUCAUGCCGACCA